UGGGGAAUAUUGCACAAUGGGGGAAACCCUGAUGCAGCGACGCCGCGUGAACGAAGAAGGUAUUCGUAUCGUAAAGUUCUGUCCUAUGGGAAGAUAAUGACAGUACCAUAGAAGAAAGCUCCGGCUAAAUACGUGCCAGCAGCCGCGGUAAUACGUAUGGAGCGAGCGUUGUCCGGAAUUAUUGGGCGUAAAGGGUACGCAGGCGGUUUAAUAAGUCGAAUGUUAGAGAUCGGGGCUCAACCCCGCAAAGCAUUGGAAACUGAUAAACUUGAGUAGUGGAGAGGAAAGUGGAAUUCCUAGUGUAGUGGUGAAAUACGUAGAUAUUAGGAGGAAUACCAGUAGCGAAGGCGACUUUCUGGACACAAACUGACGCUGAGGUACGAAAGCGUGGGGAGCAAACAGG
rnacentral:rRNA from 1 species